rnacentral:rRNA from 1 species
GGCGGACGGGUGAGGAAUACAUCGGAAUCUACUCUGUCGUGGGGGAGUAACGUAGGGAAACUUACGCUAAUACCGCAUACGACCUACGGGUGAAAGCAGGGGAUCUUCGGACCUUGCGCGAUUGAAUGAGCCGAUGUCGGAUUAGCUAGUUGGCGGGGUAAAGGCCCACCAAGGCGACGAUCCGUAGCUGGUCUGAGAGGAUGAUCAGCCACACUGGAACUGAGACACGGUCCAGACUCCUACGGGAGGCAGCAGUG